GAAGAAAACUCCGCACGAUUCAUUUUUUAUGGAAAAAAAAAACAACCAAAAAAAAACAUUCCCGCAUGGGUAGAAUAUAUUUUAAGACUCACCAAGAUCGUCGAACCAGUGAUCAGCAUUGUUAAUGAACCGAAAAAAAAAACCAUCUCGAUCUCAAAAUCGUAAAAUUGAUGGCAAAUGAAUUUCUCACUGAACAUUAUUACACGUAUUAUAGAGAUCGUAUAACGCAAUUGCGUCAAACCUAAUCUUGAUCUGAAUUAUAAUUGUUAUCGUCGUUAAUUAGUUAUGAAGUAAAAUGUGGAGAAAUCGAGUUCAUCGGCUUGGAUGUAAGAAAGAAAAUUGGAAAAAUAAUUAAAUAAUUAACCAAAUGAAUACAUAAGGUUCCCGUACACAUCGCAGAGGCUAAUACGUGUGUACUCCACAUGAAUUAAUUUCCGGUGUGACACGAGACCGUGUUUGGUAAGCAAAUUUAAUUUAAUUGACGGACAAGCAGCGCGCAUCAACACGAUGCAAUGAAUAAUCCAAUCGCAUGAUAGCUGGAUGUAGAUGCGUAACGUAGGUAAUCCACGAACUAAUUCAUUAACUCAUCCUCAUUCGCGACGUGUGCAUAUCUUGUGAUUUUUUUUCUCUCCUUCAUUCGGUCCUCUACGUUUUGUCAUCGGCCAUUUGUAAGCUAAUGUCAGACGAGUCCUCGCUAUCACGUUUUCCCCAACAGUUUCAUUUGAAUAAAUAAUUUAUUUAUUAAUUUUCCUUUUUUUUUUUCAUUCGUUUAAUUGGUAUUAUCGAUUGUGGUUCAGCCGAGAAAAUAGAGGAAUCGAACGUAGUAAACGAAUAUCGUGUUACGAAUUCCGGCUUUCGCUACACGAGUUUCCAAAAAAAAAAAGAAUAAAAGUUGACGGUAACGUGGUCGGGGUAAGGUGCAGACGAGGGCUGCGCGAAGAACGAUACCGCGGAGUCCUGGAGAGACGAGAGAGAAGGCAGAGACAGGGUAGAAGGAAAAUGAGAGAGAUUUUAUGUGAAAGCAAAAGAGACAAAAGGUGAAACGAGGAGUGUAUUUGAAAAUGAAGGGAGAGGAGACAAUUGUAACUCACGUUGGACGAUACCUCAGAAAAAUAUACACGAACUCAAUUCAUUCCGCAGCGGUAAAUCCGUACAAAUCAAAAAAGAUUUUACAUUUCAGAGGUGUACAUUUGAUCCGAACGCGGUAUUACCACAUCGACAAAGUUUCGGGGUAAAACUUGAGCUGGAAAACUCGCGACGUUAACUGAAAUAAAGAAUAACCAAAACCGCAGAGAAGCUUGACCCUGUCAAGGUCUCGCAAAAGGGAAUGAAAAUGUGAAAAAAGUAAAAGUUGAAAACGAGCAGAGACCGAGAGAAAGAAAAAAAAAAACGACGACAACAACGAAAUAUCAUGUACAAAAUCUCUCGAUUUUGCACCGGGGACCGCGGUCGUUAUUCGUUUAUAAUUUGCGCGUGUAACGACCUCAGUAGCGCAGGGGCGGAAAAAAGAAAGAAAAUAAAAUAAAAUAAAAUACAACACGAAAAAA